GAACUUGCCUCUUUCCGGCUUCCCCUCUCAGCUGCCAGCAGAGCUCGGCGCACUGAGCCAGACCUGACAAGUCGAGCACCGAGCAGUCAGGCUCCGCGGCGCCGGCACGCGGCCCCGCCCGCUCCUCCCGCCGGACCCGGACCGGAGCCUACGCGGGAUCGCGGCUCGUGAGUAGCAGGCCCAGAGAAUAUUCGCAUAAAUAAGAACUUCGCUUAAAAGCCACGACAGUAUCGGCGGCCAGUUUUGUAGGACCAACUAUUCAAGGAUACCCGAGUUAAGAAGAUUCUAACAGGAUAGACUGAUUUCCAUCCUGGAGGCAGAGCUCUACAGGUCUACCUACAAUAAGGAAGAGCUGAAUGUGCUCGCUAGUCAUUGCACUGUCUUCUUUGUGAAACCUACCGUUAAAGAUUACACAUGCUUCCCAACUGAGGCCUGAACCUCCAUCAAGAACUGAAAUGGGGGCAGCUAGGGUGGCUCAGCAGUUUAGCGCCACCUUCAGCCCAGGGUGUGAUUUUGGAGACCCAGGAUCGAGUCCCACAUCGGGCUCCCUGAAUAGUGGCUGCUUCUCCCUCUGCCUGUGUCUCUGCCUCUC